GGCCCUGUAGUUCAGUGGCAGAACAGAGGACUUUUAAUCCUUGUGUCGAAGGUUCGAAUCCUUCCAGGGUCA
rnacentral:tRNA from 1 species